rnacentral:miRNA from 1 species
UGAGGCAGGAGUAUUGCUUGAAUCUGGGAGGUGGAGGUUGCAGUGAGCCGAGAUUGCGCCACUGCACUCCAGCCUGGGCGACAGAGCAAGACUCUGUCUU